GGAGAGAUGGCCGAGUGGUUUAAGGCGCACGCUUGGAAAGCGUGUGUGCGUGCAAGCGUACCGUGGGUUCGAAUCCCACUCUCUCCGCCA
rnacentral:tRNA from 1 species